CUAUACUGUAUUUGAGGAGGUGGUUACUAUUCAUGUGCAAGCUGGUAUGGUAAAAGCUGGAGAUACUACAUGAAUGAUAUUAAAGUCAGAUGGGCUUAUGAAAAAGAAAGGUGCUGAUCCUAUUCUAGUCUGAGAAAAAGGCAAAGCCUGUUUUGCUCUACAAUCAAGCCCAAAAGCUUUAAGAACUGUCUAUUCCUGACACCUCUGAUACACCUGUUGAGUUCUGGAAUGGAAGAGCCUUACCCCCUGCACCAGAAAACCCUUUGGACUGCAGCAGUGGAUAGGCCAAAAAGACCUGGUUGGAGGAAGCCCUGGGAAGAAGGC